rnacentral:misc_RNA from 1 species
GGUAAGGAUCCUUUUUCACCGUUCAAGCGUUCAGCUCUAUUAGGUACCAAGUCCACAUCAAUAUCCCAAACUUGAUGAUAACAUGUUAUGUAAUUCUUAAUAAUUUAGAAUAAUAUAAAAUAAAUUUUCAAACGUUCAUGUUGUAUACUUGUAUUGUUCAAAGGUGGUGGAAAUGGAAAAGCUUGUAAUCUCUUUCAAGGGAACUACACAUCAACCAUAAAGUGUUGUUUGUUACAGAAAUUUACGAUACACAUAAGUCACACCAUUUGUUCUUUAUUUACUUAGGCUAAGCCUAAAACUUGCCACGAUAAGCCACCAUCAUAGUUGCUUCUAUCAAUCAGC